GAGUUUGAUCCGUGGCUCAGGAUGAACGCUGGCGGCGUGCUUAACGCAUGCAAGUCGAACGGGUGAGAGCGGAAACCUAGUGAAGCUCUCACGAGUGGCGGACGGGUGAGUAACGCGCGGGCAACCUGCCGUAUACAGGGGGAUAACACUUAGAAAUAGGUGCUAAAACCGCAUAAGCGCACAAAGGCCGCAUGGCCGGGUGCGAAAAACUCCGGUGGUAUACGAUGGACCCGCGUCCGAUUAGCUAGUUGGCGGGAUAAGAGCCCACCAAGGCGACGAUCGGUAGCCGGCCUGAGAGGGUGACCGGCCACAUUGGGACUGAGACACGGCCCAAACUCCUACGGGAGACAGCAGUGGGGAAUAUUGCACAAUGGGGGAAACCCUGAUGCAGCGACGCCGCGUGAGUGAAGAAGUAUUUCGGUAUGUAAAGCUCUAUCAGCAGGGAAGAAAAAAGACGGUACCUGAGUAAGAAGCCCCGGCUAACUACGUG
rnacentral:rRNA from 1 species